rnacentral:rRNA from 1 species
GAAUAUUGGACAAUGGGCGCAAGCCUGAUCCAGCAAUGCCGCGUGAGUGAAGAAGGCCUUAGGGUUGUAAAGCUCUUUCGUCAGGGAAGAUAAUGACGGUACCUGAAGAAGAAGCCCCGGCUAACUCCGUGCCAGCAGCCGCGGUAAUACGGAGGGGGCAAGCGUUGUUCGGAAUUACUGGGCGUAAAGCGCACGUAGGCGGAUGCACAAGUUGGGGGUGAAAGCCCAGGGCUUAACCCUGGAACUGCCUUCAAGACUGUGCGUCUUGAGUUCAAGAGAGGUAAGGGGAAUUCCUAGUGUAGAGGUGAAAUUCGUAGAUAUUAGGAAGAACACCGGUGGCGAAGGCGCCUUACUGGCUUGAUACUGACGCUGAGGUGCGAAAGCGUGGGGAGCAAACAG